GACGAACGCUGGCGGCGUGCUUAACACAUGCAAGUCGAACGAAGCUUGAUUACGGAUUCUUCGGAUGAAGUAUGAUAUGACUGAGUGGCGGACGGGUGAGUAACGCGUGAGUAACCUGCCCUUCAGAGGGGGAUAGCGUUUGGAAACGAACGGUAAUACCGCAUAAUGUAUUUUGACCGCAUGAUCGAAAUACCAAAGAUUUAUCGCUGAAGGAUGGACUCGCGUCUGAUUAGGUAGUUGGUGGGGUAACGGCCUACCAAGCCGACGAUCAGUAGCCGGACUGAGAGGUUGAUCGGCCACAUUGGGACUGAGACACGGCCCAGACUCCUACGGGAGGCAGCAGUGGGGAAUAUUGCACAAUGGGCGCAAGCCUGAUGCAGCAACGCCACGUGAAGGAAGACGGUUUUCGGAUUGUAAACUUCUGUUCUUAGUGAAGAAUAAUGACGGUAGCUAAGGAGCAAGCCACGGCUAACUACGUG
rnacentral:rRNA from 1 species